rnacentral:tRNA from 2 species
GCCGACGUAGCUCAACGGUAGAGCAGCUGACUUGUAAUCAGCAGGUUGCGGGUUCGAGUCCCAUCGUCGGCUCCA